AUUGAACGCUGGCAGCAUGCUUUACACAUGCAAGUCGAGCGGUAACAGGCCUUCGGGUGCUGACGAGUGGCGAACGGGUGAGUAAUGCAUCGGAACGUACCCAGAGGUGGGGGAUAACGCAGCGAAAGCUGUGCUAAUACCGCAUGUGAUCUGAGGAUGAAAGCGGGGGACCGAGCAGCAAUGUUUGGCCUCGCGCCUUUGGAGCGGCCGAUGUCGGAUUAGCUAGUUGGUGGGGUAAAGGCCUACCAAGGCGACGAUCCGUAGCUGGUCUGAGAGGACGACCAGCCACACUGGGACUGAGACACGGCCCAGACUCCUACGGGAGGCAGCAGUGGGGAAUUUUGGACAAUGGGCGCAAGCCUGAUCCAGCAAUGCCGCGUGCGGGAAGAAGGCCUUCGGGUUGUAAACCGCUUUUGGCAGGAACGAAACGGUGUCCGCUAAUACCGGGCGCUAAUGACGGUACCUGCAGAAUAAGCACCGGCUAACUACGUG
rnacentral:rRNA from 1 species